rnacentral:tRNA from 2 species
GCCAACGUAGCUCAAUUGGUAGAGCAGCUGAUUUGUAAUCAGCAGGUUGCGGGUUCGAGUCCCUUCGUUGGCUCCA